UUUCGUUUUUUAGUAAACGAAGAAGUACUCAGGCGGUCUACCUUCAUACACAGCUCGUUCAAGGCUGAAAAAUGGGUUGUUUAUUACGCCUUACUGCAUGCUGUUAUGAUUAUUGGUAUCUCUCAUUCAUCAGCGAGAAGACCGACCUACAAAGAUUCGCAGUUAACCGGUCGUUUAUACAACGGAACUGGACGCUCGAACAGUUACCGAGACAGUGCUCGUGGAUCUGAUUACGACAAUUAUGGCCCGAAACCAGUGG